GAUGAACGCUGGCGGCGUGCCUAAUACAUGCAAGUCGAGCGAACAGGCGAGGAGCUUGCUCCUCUGACGUUAGCGGCGGACGGGUGAGUAACACGUGGAUAACCUACCUAUAAGACUGGGAUAACUUCGGGAAACCGGAGCUAAUACCGGAUAAUAUAUUGAACCGCAUGGUUCAAUAGUGAAAGACGGUUUUGCUGUCACUUAUAGAUGGAUCCGCGCCGCAUUAGCUAGUUGGUAAGGUAACGGCUUACCAAGGCAACGAUGCGUAGCCGACCUGAGAGGGUGAUGGGCCACACUGGAACUGAGACACGGUCCAGACUCCUACGGGAGGCAGCAGUAGGGAAUCUUCCGCAAAGGGCGAAAGCCUGACGGAGCAACGCCGCGUGAGUGAUGAAGGUCUUCGGAUCGUAAAACUCUGUUAUUAGGGAAGAACAAAUGUGUAAGUAACUAUGCACGUCUUGACGGUACCUAAUCAGAAAGCCACGGCUAACUACGUG
rnacentral:rRNA from 1 species